AGGUGCUUUUUGUAGAACGAGCCAACGAGUUACGGUAUGUAGCAAGGUUAAGUACUUAAGGUACGGAGCCGAAGGGAAACCGAGUCUGAAUAGGGCGACUAGUUGCAUGCCGUAGACCCGAAACCGGGUGACCUAUCCAUGGCCAGGUUGAAGCGAGGGUAAAACCUCGUGGAGGACCGAACCACGUUGCUGUUGAAAAAGCAUGGGAUGAGCUGUGGAUAGCGGAGAAAUUCCAAUCGAACCCGGAGAUAGCUGGUUCUCUCCGAAAUAGCUUUAGGGCUAGCGUCGAGUAUGAGUAGUGGAGGUAGAGCACUGAAUGGGCUAGGGGGCAUAGCGCUUACCGAACCUUAUCAAACUCCGAAUGCCACAUACUUUGAGCUCGGCAGUCAGACUACGAAUGAUAAGAUCCGUGGUCAAAAGGGAAACAGCCCAGAUCGUCAGCUAAGGUCCCAAAGUGUAAGUUAAGUGGGAAAGGAUGUGAGAUUUCUAAGACAACUAGGAUGUUGGCUUAGAAGCAGCCAUUCAUUAAAAGAGUGCGUAAUAGCUCACUAGUCGAGAGAUCUUGCGCCGAAAAUGUAACGGGGCUAAACUUACCACCGAAGCUACGGGCUUGAACUUAGUUCAAGCGGUAGGAGAGCGUCGUAACCGGGCUGAAGUCGUACCGUAAGGAGCGGUGGACUGGUUACGAGUGAGAAUGUUGGCAUCAGUAGCGAGAUGUGGGUGAGAAUCCCACAGGCCGAAAACCUAAGGUUUCCUCAGGAAGGUUCGUCCGCUGAGGGUUAGUCGGGACCUAAGCCGAGGCCGAAAGGCGUAGGUGAUGGACAACUGGUUGAUAUUCCAGUACCACUACCAUCGUUAUUAUCGAUGGCGUGACGCAGGAGGAUAGUGUGUGCUAGCUAUUGGAUGCUAGUCUAAGCGUUUAGGCAGUGAGAGUAGGCAAAUCCGCUCUCAUAAUGCUGAGGCGUGAUGGGGAAGGUUCCACGGAACCGAAGUACAUGAUUCCACGCUGCCAAGAAAAGCGUCUAGAGAGAGAAGUAGUGCCCGUACCGCAAACCGACACAGGUAGGUGAGGAGAGAAUCCUAAGGCCGGCGGAAGAAUUACAGUUAAGGAACUCGGCAAAUUGACCCCGUAAGUUCGCGAGAAGGGGUGCCUACGAGAGUAGGCCGCAGAGAAUAGGCCCAAGCAACUGUUUAGCAAAAACACAGGUCUCUGCUAAAGCGUAAGCUGAUGUAUAGGGGCUGACGCCUGCCCGGUGCUGGAAGGUUAAGGGGAACACUUAGCGCAAGCGAAGGUGUGAACUUAAGCCCCAGUAAACGGCGGCCGUAACUAUAACGGUCCUAAGGUAGCGAAAUUCCUUGUCAGGUAAGUUCUG
rnacentral:rRNA from 1 species